CCCCUGUUGCUCCUCUGCCGCCCCUCCGGCUUCACCUUCGGCAGGUACUACAUGAACUGGGUGCGCCAGAGCCCCGGGAAGGGGCUGGAAUGGCUUGCUGGGAUCUGGACGGAUGGUUCCCGCACGUUCUACGCGCCGUCGGUGAAGGGCCGGUUCAGCAUGGCCAGGGACAACGGGCAGAGCUCGGUGACGCUGCAGAUGAACAACCUCAGGGACGAGGAUUCCGACACCUAUUUCUGUGCCAAAUAUGUUAAUGCUGCUGCUGGUACUGCUGAUGGCAUCGACUCCCUUUGUAGGGUCCUCAAACCUCCCCAGAUCUCCUCCUCCGCACCCAAAUCUGAACUGUUGAUUCCAAACGUCAAACGUUGA